AUCGAACGCUGGCGGCAGGCCUAACACAUGCAAGUCGAACGAGUGGCGGACGGGUGAGUAAUGUCUGGGAAACUGCCUGAUGGAGGGGGAUAACUACUGGAAACGGUAGCUAAUACCGCAUACCAUCGGAUGUGCCCAGCUGGGAUUAGCUAGUCGGUGGGGUAACGGCUCACCUAGGCGACGAUCCCUAGCUGGUCUGCGAGGAGGACCUGCCACACUGGAACUGGGACACGGUCCAUACUCCUACGGGAGGCAGCAGUGGGGAAUAGUGCACAAUGGGCACAAGCCUGAUGCAGCCAUGCCGCGUGUAUGAAGAAGGCCUUCGGGUUGUAAAGUACUUUCAGCGGGGGGGCGUUACCCGGAGAAGAAGCACCGGCUAACUCCGGGCCAGCAGCCGCGGUAAUUC
rnacentral:rRNA from 1 species